rnacentral:rRNA from 1 species
GGCGAACGCUGGCGGCGUGCUUAACACAUGCAAGUCGAACGGUGAUCUUGAGAGCUUGCUCUUGGGUGAUCAGUGGCGAACGGGUAAGUAACACGUGAGUAACCUGCCCCUGACUCUGGAAUAACUUCGGGAAACCGAAGCUAAUACCGGAUAUGACACAGAGCCGCAUGGUUUCUGUGUGGAAAGUUUUUCGGUUGGGGAUGGACUCGCGGCCUAUCAGCUUGUUGGUGAGGUAAUGGCUCACCAAGGCGACGACGGGUAGCCGGCCUGAGAGGGCGACCGGCCACACUGGGACUGAGACACGGCCCAGACUCCUACGGGAGGCAGCAGUGGGGAAUAUUGCACAAUGGGCGAAAGCCUGAUGCAGCGACGCCGCGUGAGGGAUGAAGGCCUCGGUUGUAACCGUACUUCAGUAGGAAGAAGACGCAAGUGACGGUACCGUACAGAAGAAGCACCGGCUAACUACGUGCCAGCAGCCGCGGUAAACGUAGACGUG